GGCAGACGGGUGAGUAACACGUGGGAAUCUACCUAGUUCUACGGGAUAGCCCGGGGAAACCCGGAUUAAUACCGUAUACGCCCCAAGGGGGAAAGAUUUAUCGGAAUUAGAUGAGCCCGCGUUAGAUUAGCUUGUUGGUGAGGUAAUGGCUCACCAAGGCUACGAUCUAUAGCUGGUCUGAGAGGAUGAUCAGCCACACUGGAACUGAGACACGGUCCAGACUCCUACGGGAGGCAGCAGUGGGGAAUAUUGGACAAUGGGCGCAAGCCUGAUCCAGCCAUGCCGCGUGAGUGACGAAGGCCUUAGGGUUGUAAAGCUCUUUUAACGGGGAAGAUAAUGACGGUACCCGUAGAAUAAGCUCCGGCUAACUUCGUGCCAGCAGCCGCGGUAAUACGAAGGGGGCUAGCGUUGUUCGGAAUUACUGGGCGUAAAGAGUUCGUAGGCGGUUUAUUAAGCUAGAUGUGAAAUCCCUGAGCUUAACUCAGGAACUGCAUUUAGAACUGGUAGGCUAGAGAGUGUUAGAGGUUGGUAGAAUUCCUAGUGUAGGGGUGAAAUCCGUAGAUAUUAGGAGGAAUACCGAUGGCGAAGGCAGCCAACUGGG
rnacentral:rRNA from 1 species